UACGUAGGUGGCGAGCGUUGUCCGGAUUUAUUGGGCGUAAAGCGCGCGCAGGUGUGCGGUAAGUCCGCUGUGAAAUCUCCCGGCUCAACUGGGAGGGGGCGGUGGAGACUGCCGUGCUGGAGGGACCGAGAGGCUGGUGGAAUUCCCGGUGUAGUGGUGAAAUGCGUAGAGAUCGGGAGGAACACCUGUGGCGAAGGCGGCCAGCUGGGGGUACCCUGACGCUGAAGCGCGAAAGCGUGGGGAGCGAACCGG
rnacentral:rRNA from 1 species